rnacentral:rRNA from 1 species
GCACAAGCAGCGGAGCAUGUGGUUUAAUUCGAAGCAACGCGAAGAACCUUACCUAGACUUGACAUCUCCUGAAUUACCCGUAACUGGGGAAGCUCUUCGGAGCAGGAAGACAGGUGGUGCAUGGUUGUCGUCAGCUCGUGUCGUGAGAUGUUGGGUUAAGUCCCGCAACGAGCGCAACCCUUAUCGUUAGUUGCUACCAUUAGGUUGAGCACUCUAGCGAGACUGCCCGGGUUAACCGGGAGGAAGGUGGGGAUGACGUCAGAUCAUCAUGCCCCUUAUGUCUAGGGCUACACACGUGCUACAAUGGUGAGGACAAAGAGACGCAAGACCGCGAGGUGGAGCAAAUCUCACAAACCUCAUCCCAGUUCGGAUUGCAGGCUGAAACUCGCCUGCAUGAAGCCGGAGUUGCUAGUAAUCGCGAAUCAGCAUGUCGCGGUGAAUACGUUCCCGGGCCUU